rnacentral:rRNA from 1 species
CACACCGCCCGUCACACCAUGGGAGUUGGAUUGACCCGAAGGUGGUGAGCUGACCCGCAAGGGAGGCAGCCAACCACGGUCGGUUCAGCGACUGGGGUG